rnacentral:misc_RNA from 1 species
CUAAGGAAAAAGUUAUCAUCUUCAGCUUUGAAAGACUUAAAAAAGUUUUUCAUUUUUUAAGAUUAGGGCCUAUAGCUCAGUUGGUUAGAGCACACACCUGAUAAGCGUGAGGUCGGUGGUUCAAGUCCAUUUAGGCCCACCAAAAUAGGUCGAAUCUUAAAAAAAGCUCUUUGAAAAGUAGAUAAACAAUAAAGGUUAAAAAAUC